rnacentral:rRNA from 1 species
CCUACGGGAGGCAGCAGUGAGGGAUAUUGGUCAAUGGCCGUAAGGCUGAACCAGCCAAGUAGCGUGAGGGAAGACUGCCCUAUGGGUUGUAAACCUCUUUUAUGCGGGGGUAAAGGUGUCCACGUGUGGAUGUUUGCAGGUACCGCAUGAAUAAGGAACGGCUAAUUCCGUGCCAGCAGCCGCGGUAAUAAGGAAGGUCCGGGCGUUAUCCGGAUUUAGUGGGUGUAAAGGGAGCGUAGGCCGGUCUUUAAGCGUGCCGUGAAAUUUUGUGGCUCAACCAUGAGAGUGCGGGGCGAACUGGAUACCUUGAGUGCGCGGAAGGCAGGCGGAAUUCGUGGUGUAGCGGUGAAAUGCUUAGAUAUCACGAAGAACCCCGAUUGCGAAGGCAGCCUGCCGCAGCGUUACUGACGCUGAAGCUCGAAAGCGCGGGUAUCGAACAGGAUUAGAUACCCCUGUAGUC